rnacentral:rRNA from 1 species
AAAAUGACUCUCGGCAACGGAUAUCUAGGCUCUUGCAUCGAUGAAGAACGUAGCGAAAUGCGAUACUUGGUGUGAAUUGCAGAAUCCCGUGAACCAUCGAGUCUUUGAACGCAAAUUGCGCCCGAUGCCAUUAGGUUGAGGGCACGUCUGCCUGGGUGUCACAU